rnacentral:rRNA from 1 species
CCUACGGGCGGCUGCAGUAAGGAAUAUUGGACAAUGCCCGCAAGGGUGAUCCAGCCAUGCCGCGUGCAGGAAGACGGCCCUAUGGGUUGUAAACUGCUUUUACACCGGAGAAAACUUCCGUUCGUGAACGGAGCUGAUAGUAUGGUGAGAAUAAGCAUCGGCUAACUUCGUGCCAGCAGCCGCGGUAAUACGAAGGAUGCAAGCGUUAUCCGGAUUCAUUGGGUUUAAAGGGAGCGUAGGUGGCCUUAUAAGUCAGUGGUGAAAUCUCUGGGCUU